CAGUAGCCACGGUAAUACAGAGGGUGCGAGCGUUAAUCGGAUUUACUGGGCGUAAAGCGUGCGUAGGCGGCUUUUUAAGUCGGAUGUGAAAUCCCUGAGCUUAACUUAGGAAUUGCAUUCGAUACUGGGAAGCUAGAGUAUGGGAGAGGAUGGUAGAAUUCCAGGUGUAGCGGUGAAAUGCGUAGAGAUCUGGAGGAAUACCGAUGGCGAAGGCAGCCAUCUGGCCUAAUACUGACGCUGAGGUACGAAAGCAUGGGGAGCAAACAGGAUUAGAUACCCCAGUAGUCCCUGUCUCUUAUCC
rnacentral:rRNA from 1 species